ACKGCUCAGUAACACGUGGCUAACCUACCCUCGAGUUUUGGGACAACCCCGGGAAACUGGGGCUAAUCCCAGAUAGAUGAGAACUCCUGGAAUGGGUUCUCGUCCAAAAGGCACCAAGAUCAUGCUUCUUGGCGUCGCUCAAGGAUGGGGCCGCGACCGAUCAGGCUGUUGGUGAGGCAACGGCUCACCAAACCUUUAACCGGUACGGGCCGUGGGAGCGGGUGCCCGGAGAUGGGAACUGAGACAAGGUCCCAGGCCCUACGGGGCGCAGCAGUUACGAAAACUUGUCAAUGCACGAAAGUGUGAACGGGCUACCCCGAGUGCCGUCCGCUGAGGAUGGCUUUUCUCUGCUGUAAGGAAGCGGAGGAAUAAGGCGAGGGCAAGUCUGGUGUCAGCCGCCGCGGUAAUACCAGCUCGCCGAGUGGUAGGGAUGAUUAUUGGGCUUAAAGCGUCCGUAGCCGGCCUCUCAAGUCUCUCGUUAAAUCCAGCGAUUCAAUCGUUGGACUGCGGGAGAUACUGUGAGGCUAGGGGGCGGGAGAAGCCGACGGUAUUUCCGGGGUAGGGGUAAAAUCCUAUAAUCCCGGGAAGACCACCAGUGGCGAAGGCGGUCGGCUAGCACGCGCUCGACGGUGAGGGACGAAAGCUGGGGGAGCGAACCGGAUUAGAUACCCGGGUAGUCCCAGCUGUAAACGAUGCGGGCUAGGUGUUGGAGCGGCUACGAGCCGCUUCAGUGCCGCAGGGAAGCCAUUAAGCCCGCCGCCUGGGGAGUACGGCCGCAAGGCUGAAACUUAAAGGAAUUGGCGGGGGAGCAC
rnacentral:rRNA from 1 species